CACGUAGGGAGCAAGCGUUGUCCGGAUUUAUUGGGCGUAAAGAGCUCGUAGGUGGUUCGGUAAGUCAGGUGUGAAACCUCCAGGCUCAACCUGGAGACGCCACUUGAUACUGCUGUGACUGGAGUCCGGUAGGGGAGCGUGGAAUUCCUGGUGUAGCGGUGAAAUGCGCAGAUAUCAGGAGGAACACCCGUGGCGAAAGCGGCUCUCUGGGACGGUACUGACGCUGAGACGCGAAAGCGUGGGGAGCAAACAGG
rnacentral:rRNA from 1 species